GGCAACGCCACCGCGGCCCACCGGGGUUCGGCGGCCCCGCCACCGGCCCCGCGGGUGUCGCCGACGCCGCGUCCCGCCGCCCGGCCGCGCGUCGUCAUCCCGGUGCGGCAUCACUCAGGCACCGCCAUCCCUCGCGCUGCUGAGGCCUCGGCGGGAGCAGUACCGGGAGCAGCUGCCGCCGCGUUUCCCGACGACCGGGACGGUGCCGGUGCCAUGAAAGAGGACCGCCAGCAUCCCGUCGAUCUGGGUUACGCCAUCACCAAACCCGACAUCCUGGCCGAGGUGGAGCGAGGGGACGAGGGGGUGGCGGCGGCAGCGGGGCGCUACGGGGAGCGCCAGAGCCCCCGGCCACACGCGGCACCCGCCGGGCCCUCGCAGGGGGACUGGCAGGGGAAGGAGGUGAAGAGCGAGGACGGGGUGUCCCCACCGCCCCGCUCGCCCCCGUCCCGCCACGCCGGCCCCGCCGAUUUCCUCAUCCCGCUGCGGGACCGGGGCUGCAGCUACUGCGGCGUCCUCGAGCCGGAGCCGAAUCCCGGUGCCGGUAACGGGGCGUUCAUCGCCGCACCCCCCGCCUUCGAGAGCCGCCGCUGCCGGCCCGGGGAGCCGCCGCUGGAUUGUGCCGAGUGCGGCCGAGGAGGCAUCGGGCAGAAGCCGGAUCUGGUGCGGCACCGGCUGGGGCGCGGCGCGGAGCUCGGCUACGCCUGCGGCCGCUGCGGGAGAGGCCUCGCCGAACCGGCGGGGCUGGGGGCCACGGGCAGCCCCCACGCCCGGGCCCUGCACCGGGCGCUGCCCGGGCACGGCGGAGGGAGGCACGGCGGCGGCGCCGCGGAAGGAGCGGAAGGAGCUGUCGCUGACCGAGAAGGUGCGCGUGCUGGAGAUGCUGGAGGGCCCCAAGGUGUCACAGAGCGAGCUGGCCAAGCGCUUGGGGUGUCGCAGCCCCAGAUCUGCCGCAUCAUCAAGAACAAGGAGCGCAUCCUGAGCGAGUGGCACCGCGAACGGCGACCCCGGAGCGCAAGCGCAAGCGGGAGGGGAAGGACGCGGGCGCUGGAGGCCGCACUGCUGCGCUGGGUGGAGGGUGCCCACGCUGCCGAGCUGCCCGUGGCCGCCCGCUGCUGCAGCUCAGGGCCCGGCACCCGGCCCGGCCCGAGCCCGGGCCCAGCGGCGGCUGGCUGGCUCGCCUGGGCGCCGCCACGGCAAGAAGCCGCCGGCGGAGAAAGGGGACGCGGAGCAGCCCACGGCGGAGCACUGGGCCGGCACGGUGCUGCCCGGGCUCCUCCGCAGCUACGUGCCCGCCGAGAUCUUCGCCUGCGGGGAGACGGCGGUGCCGCUGCCGGCCGGCGCCCCCCGUAACGGCGAGCGCCGGCGCGCGGCUGACGCUGCUGCUGCGCCAACGCCAGCGGCUCGGAGAAGGUGCCGCUGCGGGCGGUGGGGACAGCCCCCGGCCGCGCUGCCUGCGCGGGCGUCAACCUGGAGCAGAUGCCGUGGAGCUACCGCGCCGGCGGCCCGCCGGCCUGAGCGCCCGCUCUUCGCCGAGUGGCUGCGGGGAGUUCAACGAGGGAUGCGGCGGCGGGGCAAGAGCGUCCUCCUCCUCCUGGCCAAGCACGAGGCGCACCCCUACCUCCAGCUGUCCAACGUCAGGAUGGUUUCAUCCCGCCGGCCGCCGCCCUGGCCCAGCCCCUGGACCGCGGCAUCGCCGGCGACCUCAAGGGCCACUACCGGCGCCGUUUGCUGCGGCGGCUGCCGGCGGGCGCUGGCGCGGGCCAGCCCAGCCUGCUGGAUGUGCUGCACAUGCUGGCGCAGGCCUGGGGCGACGUCCACCCGGGGCUCAUCGCCGCGCUGCUUCAGCGCCCGCCGGCUUCACCCCGACGCCGCACCGGCACGGGCGUGGCCUGACCUCCGCCCCCGGCCUGCUUCGGCCGGCAGCGGCCGCAGCGACGGGGGACGCGCGGAGCGGGACGGGGAACGAGGGCACGGCGGAGGGCGAGGACGCGGGCGAGCUGGCGGCCGUGCCGCCCUGCCCCUCGGAACGGGAGGUCUGGAGGAGCCUGGCCACGCUGCGGCGGUACCUGGAGUGCCAGGCUACCUCGCCGGACCUCUUCCAGGCCUUCUACGAGCUGGAGGACGCCGUGCACAUGGUGUCAGCCGGCGCAGGGCGAGCCUUCCUCGGGGACAGCCCUCCUCAGCACUGACCGGGCAGCCACCCGUGCCCGUGAGAGGGGCCGGUGCUCGCUGGGGCUGUCCCCGGCCCGGCCCGGCCGCUGUUCCCUGCAGAUGUGCUGUGGGGUUUGCAGUGGCAGUGCUGGGGACACAAAGCUGCUGCCAGAACCUUCUCCCAGGGAGUGGCUGCUGCAGCCAGCAGGGAACGAUGUGGAGCUGCUGCCAGCGGGGAUUUGCCCUGAGCGGGGUAGUUGUGACUGCCGUCGGGGGUGUGGGUGGUGCUGGGGUGUCCCCUGCUGGGGACAGCAGCUCCUUCCCACGGGGGAAUCGGGUGCCUCCGGCUGCUGUCACCACGUGGUGCCUGGAGGAUUGUUACGGGCAUUAAAGAGUUGGAAUUCAGCAAAGCGAAGCACGGGUGGUUUCAUUCUGCUGCCACAUCUGCUGGGAGAGGGGCAGAGCUCCCCGGGGCUUCCCGGAGCAGCGGGGCCACCCCAAACCCCCCUUCCCCUCCUGGGGACACGGUGGUCCCCACAGCCAGCCCGAGCUGUGCCAUCCCCACCCGGGUACCAGGGCC
rnacentral:lncRNA from 14 species